rnacentral:lncRNA from 13 species
UGAGAACACAGUGGAGGAAGUGAGUGGUGGAUUAGAUUGCUCAAUGCAAUGCAGGGGUGGAGCUGCUGAGGGUGCGGGAUGAUUCUGAUAAAUUUGAAUAAUUAGUCCCCAGGUCAGCCCUCAGAUGCACAGUCAUUUCAUGGACUCAUAGAGUUUAUAUUGGAAAGGGACCUGAUGGGUUUUCUAGCUAGUCUUUCCAUUUUACAGAUGGGAAAACUGAAGCCCAGAGAAAGGAAAUGGCUUGCCCAGGAUUGCAUGGAUUUCUCUCAUCUUUGCUGUAUCUCAGAGCCCCCGGCUCCUUCAGCUGCGCUGUUUGAGUCUCCUGGCACUCCAGCUGCCUCAGGUUCCCCUGUCGUACCCUUGGCCGUAGUACUAAGGCUCUUGAAUGUCUUUCACAUGUCAAGGGGAAGCAGCACACUAAGACGACAGAGAGGGACUGAAGCUUCUGCAUUGGGUCUGAGGACCCCAACUCUGCAGCAGCUACCACCCUUGGAGCCAAG